UCAUUCACACAUGGAUACACUGAACACACAGAUGUACAUUCAUUUGAGUUAGACAUCCUUGUCAAUGUGGCCACUGGAUUCAGUGCUGGCCCUGAUACUCUUGAGAUUCCAAGGAGAUCUUCACCCCUUUCCUGGUUCCUCAAGUGAGGUUAUAGGAUUGGCUCUGGAAACAAGAGUUGCUAGUACCAUUUCAACACAGCAGAUAUAGAUGAAUUUGGUACUUAGCCCUGAUGCUGAGAGAGUGUGGAGGGGAACUAGACACACCCAGGAAGAGUUAAAGAUACCUAGGUCCCCUAGGACCUGAAAGAAGCUGGACUUUUCUUCCUGAGCUGGAGGGAUAUGGAGAACACAUGGGAGUGGUCAGGGUCUCAGCUGCAGCAGAGACAACAAGCUGAACAGGAGUCCAGGGCCCAGUAGUGGGACACUGGCACAAAGUCAUGCCUGUGACGUAGCCAAGAGACAGUAACUACUGAAACACAAGAUAGAGUUCUAAAGGUUACACAGACUUUCACGACUGGGUUUCAGAGGGCAAUGAGAAUGGACUUGCACCAUGUCCAGAAGGGCUGCCAGCAGCACAAGCAAGAAGAUCCUCAUGCUGGAAGUGGCAGACAUCAGCUGAAGGUUCCCCAGACAAAGAAGCCUGCUCUGGGUGAAACGGCCCUGAAGAUAAUGCUGAAACCUUAGGUCCUGGAGAUCACCAACAGGCUGGAGCAUAAAUGAUGUAUUUUGAAGAUAAUUCUACUAGAGCAGCAAUGGUGGAAAAAUGAGUUGGUUUAUAUAGGGGAUUACAUUGAUGAAUUUCCGUAUAUUGAACGAUCCCUGCAUUCCUGGAAUGAAGCCUACUUAAGUAUGGUGAAUGAUUAUUCUUAUUUGUUCUUGGAAUCAGUUUGCAAGAAUUUUAUUGAGCAUUUUUGCAUCAGAAUUCAUGAGAAAAAUUGGUCUGAAGUUCUCUUUCUUUAUUGGGUCUUCGUGUGGUUUAUGUAUUAGUGUAACUGAC